rnacentral:ncRNA from 1 species
ACGGUUCCCGCCGAUCCGACCGGACGACGGGAUAAAAAGGGAACCGGGUGAGAGUCCCGGACAGUCCCCGCUGCUGUGAGUUUCGUUGUCGAAUGCCGCGUGCCGACGGCCACUGUCCCCCCCUGCGGGACGGGAAGGCGCACCCGGCGGAAACGAGUCAGAAGACCUGCCGCCGC